UUUUGGACAAUGGGGGCAACCCUGAUCCAGCAAUGCCGCGUGAGUGAAGAAGGCCUUCGGGUUGUAAAGCUCUUUUGUCAGGGAAGAAACACCGGCUUUACCCAGUCCGGGAAUGACGGUACCUGAAGAAUAAGCCCCGGCUAACUACGUGCCAGCAGCCGCGGUAAUACGUAGGGGGUGAGCGUUAUCGGAAUUACUGGGCGAAAGCGUGCGCAGGCGGUUUCAAGUCAGGCGUAAAUCCCCGGGCUUACCUGGAAUGGCGCCUGUGCUGAUGCAGAGUGCGUCGAGGGGGGAGAUUCCACGUGAGCAGUAAAUUGAAAUGGGGGGAUCCAAUGGGGAAGGAGCCCCUGGGAACUCUGCGUAGUGCAAAUCGAUCUU
rnacentral:rRNA from 1 species